ensembl:lncRNA HULC hepatocellular carcinoma up-regulated long non-coding RNA
GGUAAUCAGCUGGGGUUUCCUUAGGGAGGUUGGAAGGUUUGUUCUUUCUCUCUUUGCAGUAAAUCUUGCAGGUGUGUGUUUUUUGGGUUCAUGCUGCUUGUAUGAGCUGUGAUGAUUACCAUGAAAAUUUGCAGCUUCACUUUUAAAACCAGUGAGAGCACAAACCCACCGGGAGGAACAAGCAAUUCCAGACGUACUGCUUUAGGAGGUGUAACACUCACCGGCGAGGUUUGUAGCUUCACUCCUGAGCCAGUGAGACCACGAAUCCACCAGCAGGAAAAAAAGAUUCCAAACAUGUCUGAAUGUCAGAAGAAACAAUUUCCAAACACACUGCCUUUAAGAACUGUAACACUCCCUGUGAGGGUCUAUGGCUUCAUUCUUUAAGUCAGUGAGACUAAGACGCCACCAAUUCGGGGCACAUUGGGACUAUAGUUACUGCCACCAUGCACAUCUAAACAACGUUCUGGAAUAUCUUCUUGCUUUGGUCAACCACCAGGCAUGGGAAAAUGGCUUCAUCGGUUGUCUUUCCACAAACAAGAUUUGGCUACUGCUGUUUGAGGACAGAGACAACCAAGAGGAACAUAGACACAUCUGGAGUACAAAACACAAAACAAAACAUCAGCAUCUUCUGUAGGUUCAUGGGAGAUGAAUAUAUUCCACCAGGAUUGUAUUCUAACUCAAAUAGCUCAAAGGACACCUUCUCCGGGAAACCUUCCCUGACUUCCGACGCUGUUUCCUGUUACCCAUGAUGUACAUUAGAACACAGCAACUAUUUGAGUGAAAUAAGUAUUUUUAUUUAUUUCAAGAGGAAAGCAAAGUCGAAGGGUGUUCAGGGCUACAGUUUUGCUUGACCAGAUGUUGCCAAGUUUCAAAGUCAAAUCGGUUCAUCUCCUGGCUAUCAGCUAAAGGGUGUUGUAUUUGUAAGCAUUGAGAACUUCUAUCUACUGCUAUUGUAUUUUGCAUAUUUGUAUUUUCUGAGUUCUAUUUGAGAGAGACGGAAUUACGCAUUUCCAUAUGGAUCAUCCUCUUCCCUAUGUAUGUUGCUUUAUUGCCUUUUGGAAGAAAAAAAGUGAGAGUUGCAGUCUGUAUUUAGGCCAUUUCUAUGUUCUUUAUUGGGUUACGUUUGAAUGCCCAAUUUGAUCUCAAUGGCACGUCCUUUGUAACAUAAAAUAAAACAUGGUGCUCAGGAAAAGUAACGACACACACAUCCAGGCCCUUUCAUAGCAGUUGGUAAAGCUUAAGCCUUGCCUCUCUGUGUGGUAGUUUCCCUUCCCUUUCUUUUCGUUCCCUGUGACAAGCAGCCAUUGUCCCCUUGGUGAGAUCUGCAAUAUUACUUUGACCCCAGCCCAUCAAUCUGCCUCAAUUGGAUAAUGAUCUGUAAUCACGUUCUUUCAGGGGAGUCUAUAAAUUUGCCAAGGCCCCAUUCUCUUCUGAAGGACUCCUUAUGUUCACUCCCAUUUGUGCAAAUGUGCUCUCUUUUACAGGGCUAAAUAGCCAUGCACAUGGUCCAUUCUGUGAGGAGGCACCGGGCGGUUCUCUGUUGAUUUUCCACGCUCUAGUCUCUUAAAGGAGACUAAGGCUGACAUGCAGGGACACAGUGGGGGGGUGGCCCGAGCCAGGCCACAUCACAGGCAGCCGCUUUUCUCAUUAAGACUGACCCAUCAUUAGGUCACUUUGUGCCAUCCUUGUAAUCAAUGAGCUUAAUGUUUAGUGCAAAAAAAAAAAAA